GACUCUCGGCAACGGAUAUCUUGGUUCUCGCAUCGAUGAAGAACGUAGCGAAAUGCGAUACUUGGUGUGAAUUGCAGAAUCCCGUGAACCAUCGAGUCUUUGAACGCAAGUUGCGCCCGAGGCUAUCCGGCCGAGGGCACGCCUGCCUGGGCGUCACGCCUAGCGUCGCUCCG
rnacentral:rRNA from 1 species